CGGGGUGCCCAGGCGCGAAAACUUCACAAUGGGAGAAAUCCCGAUGAGGGAAUUCCAAGUGCUAGCACUAUGUGUUAGCUGUUCUUUUGUCUAAAAAACAGAAGAAGUAAGGGCCGGGUAAGACGGGUGCCAGCCGCCGCGGUAAUACCCGCGGCCCGAGUGGUGGUCGAUAUUAUUGAGCCUAAAACGUCCGUAGCCGGUCUUGUAAAUCCUUGGGUAAAUCGGCCAGCUUAACUGUCCGAAGUCCGGGGAGACUGCAAGACUUGGGAUCGGGAGAGGUCAGAGGUACUUCUGGGGUAGGGGUAAAAUCCUGUAAUCCUGGAAGGACCACCGGUGGCGAAGGCGUCUGACUAGAACGAAUUCGACGGUGAGGGACGAAGCCCUGGGGCGCAAACGGGAUUAGAUACCCCGGUAGUCCAGGGUGUAAACGCUGCGGGCUUGGUGUUGGGGGUCCUUUGUGGGCGCCCAGUGCCGGAGAGAAGUUGUUAAGCCUGCUGCUUGGGGAGUACGUCCGCAAGGAUGAAACUUAAAGGAAUUGGCGGGGGAGCAC
rnacentral:rRNA from 1 species